AGCAGCCGCGGUAAUUCCAGCUCCAAUAGCGUAUAUUAAAGUUGCUGCAGUUAAAAAGCUCGUAGUUGAAUUUCGGGACUAAUAUGUCGGUCGUGCCUCGGUACGUACUGGUAUUUUUGGUUUCUCCCUUCUGACGAACCUUGAUGUCAUUAAUUUGGUGUCUUGGGGAAUCAGGACUGUUACUUUGAAAAAAUUAGAGUGUUUAAAGCAGGCUCACGCUUGAAUACAUUAGCAUGGAAUAAUGAAAUAGGACGUUUGAUUCUAUUUUGUUGGUUUCUAGGAUUGACGUAAUGAUUAAUAGGGAUAGUUGGGGGCAUUAGUAUUCAAUUGUCAGAGGUGAAAUUCUUGGAUUUAUUGAAGACUAACUACUGCGAAAGCAUUUGCCAAGGAUGUUUUCAUUAAUCAAGAACGAAAGUUAGGGGAUCGAAGGCGAUCAGAUACCGUCGUAGUCUUAACCAUAAACUAUGCCGACUAGGGAUCGGAUGAUGUUAAUUUUUUAAUGACUCA
rnacentral:rRNA from 1 species